AGAGGGAAAGAGAGGGAAAAGAAAGAAUGGCCCAGUGGGGUUUGGAUCACGCCAAACUUGGGGAAGUAAAACUCGUCGGCGAGGUGGCCGGAUGCAGAGGAGGGCAGCCUUUACGGCAGAGGUUUGCAGUAUGAGACCACAAACGGUUCUGCCUUCCCGCCCGCCUCCGCCCUCUUCGCGUGACCUUUAGGUGUCGAAGCAAGAGAGGAAGUGUUUGCUGCUGCUGCUGCUGGGGAGAAGAUUAGAUCUGCGGUUUGUUCUCGCCGGGCAGGAAGUCGCACCCACACCCCCGGCGUUCCGGCUCCUCCCCGCCGGCGAGGACGUCGCGCCCCCCCCGCUCAACAGGAAUCUUGCCCCGAUAAUAAUAAUAGCAACGUCGGUAUCUGC